UACGGGGGGUGCGAGCGUUGUCCGGAAUCACUGGGCGUAAAGGGCGCGUAGGUGGCGUCGUAAGUCUGUGGUGAAAGCCCGGAGCUCAACUCCGGGUCUGCCGCGGAUACUGCGAGGCUUGAGUGCUGUAGAGGGGGGUAGAAUGCCGGGUGUAGCGGUGGAAUGCGUAGAGAUCCGGCAGAAGAGCCGGUGGCGAAGGCGGCCCCCUGGCAGUAACUGACACUGAGGCGCGACAGCAUGGGGAGCAAACAGG
rnacentral:rRNA from 1 species